GUGACUGCUAUAUUAAGAACUACAUACCACAUAAAAGUGUUAAAAGGCUAAUUAAAUUGUUUCCAUAUGCUAAACAGUAAAAAGUCAGCAGCCAACUAGCCUGUCAUAAUUUCCCCCCUAAUCCAUAUAUACUUAAUAGUAAUUCAAAUUCAUUAAAAAUCUUUAAAUUACAAUUUUUUUUUUAAGUGGUGAAACCCAUGUCGGAUUUUUUUUUGUUUCUGGGAAAUCGUCUUUUUUCCGGCCUGCUUUAAUGGCUUAUCAGUGCUACAGGAAGUAGCAACAAAUACACAAAGAGAAGUUUCUGCUGCUGUUUUAAGAGCAAAUACACACAAAGCAGGCUGUAAUGCCAUCCCGGAUAAGCCCCCUUAAGGAUGCCAUUCAUCACAUUGUUUUAAAGACUGACAAAACGUGGAAAUUGGAGGUGAAGUACAUCAAUGCAAAACAAGACAGUGAGCAUUGCAGCUAAUGCCAUGGCAGAGGAUGACUCCCAGCCUUCCGUCCUAUCAAAGACUCAAAUAGGUGACUCUACUGUUC